GGGGAUGUGGCUCAGUGGUAGGGUACUUGCCUAGCAUGUGCAAGGUUUUGGGUUUCAUCCCCAGCACCUCCC
rfam:Ictidomys tridecemlineatus contig079816, whole genome shotgun sequence.